AUCUGCCUUUGGUCAGGUGUAUUAUCAGGUAUCACUGAAUGGAGGACCGAACCGGCUUACGUUGAUAAGUGGGCGGAGGAACUGAGGGUAGCGGAGAAAUUCCAAUCGAACCUGAAGAUAGCUGUUUCUCUCCUAUAUAGCUUUAGGGCUAGCCUGAAGUGAUUAUUAUUGGAGGUAUAGCACUGUUUGGACGAGGUGCCCCUCUCGGGUUACCGAGUUCAGACAAACUCCGAAUGCGGAUUAAUUUAACGUGGGAGUCAGAACAUGGGUUAUAAGGUCCGUGUUCGAAAGUGAAGCAGGCGAGACCGCCAGCUAAGGUCCCAAAAUAUAUGUUAAGUGCAAAAGUAUGUGGCGUUGCACAGACAACUAGGAUG
rnacentral:rRNA from 1 species